GUAGGGAAUAUUGGUCAAUGGACGAAAGUCUGAACCAGCCAUUCCGCGUGCAGGAAGAAGAUUCUAUGGAUUGUAAACUGCUUUUAGCAGAGAAGAAACGCCUUCAUUGAUGAGGGUUUGACGGUAUCUGCGGAAUAAGCACCGGCUAACUCCGUGCCAGCAGCCGCGGUAAUACGGGGGGUGCAAGCGUUAUCCGGAAUCACUGGGUUGAAAGGGUGCGUAGGCGGGAAAUUAAGUCAGUGGUGAAAGUCUGUUGCUUAACGAUAGAAUUGCCGUUGAUACUGAUGUUCUUGAAUUGGGUUGAGGUUAGCGGAAUGUGACAUGUAGCGGUGAAAUGCAUAGAUAUGUCAUGGAACACCAAUUGCGAAGGCAGCUAGCUGGGCCUUGAUUGACGCUGAGGCACGAAAGCGUGGGUAGCGAACAGGAUUAGAAACCCGUGUAGUCC
rnacentral:rRNA from 1 species